rnacentral:lncRNA from 1 species
UGAACUAGAAGAAUAUCCAUAACCAAACAAGAAUUACAUCCCUCUUUCAGGAAAAGGAACGCAUAAACUAUGCCUUUUGUACACCCAAAUUAAAGUCAAAGGCAUCAAAUCCUUAUAGAAUACUUAUCAAGAACCAAAAGAAAAUCAAAAAAGCGAAGAUUAAAAAAAAAAAAUUCAAAUAAAAGAGUUGCUUAUAGUGUGCAAGAAGAAUUACAUUUCAACCAACUUAAGUCGUCUGUUAUUAAAAAAUAAAACUAACACUCAACUUAACAAU